ensembl:lncRNA
CAGGGAUACUGGCCCAUGUGGACUCUACAAGGUGUUGAAAGCAGGGAUACUGGCCCAUGUGGACUCUACAAGGUGUUGAAAGCAGGGAUGCUGGCCCAUGUUGACUCUACAAGGUGUUGAAAGCAGGGAUACUGGCCCAUGUGGACUCUACAAGGUGUUGAAAGGGUUCCACAGGGAUGCUGGCCCAUGUUGACUCUACAAGGUGUUGAAAGCAGGGAUACUGGCCCAUGUGGACUCUACAAGGUGUUGAAAGCAGGGAUGCUGGUCCAUGUUGACUCUACAAGGUGUUGAAAGCAGGGAUACUGGCCCAUGUGGACUCUACAAUGUGUUGAAAGCAGGGAUACUGGCCCAUGUGGACUCUACAAGGUGUUGAAAGCAGGGAUGCUGGCCCAUGUUGACUCUACAAGGUGAGGAAAGCAGGGAUACUGGCCCAUGUUGACUCUACAAGGUGUUGAAAGCGUUCCACAGGGAUGCUGGUCCAUGUUGACUCUACAAGGUGUUGAAAGCUUUCCACAGGGAUGCUGGUCCAUGUUGACUCUACAAGGUGUUGAAAGCUUUCCACAGGGAUGCUGGUCCAUGUUGACUCUACAAGGUGUCCAAAGCGUUCCACAGGGAUGCUGGUCCAUGUUGACUCUACAAGGUGUUGAAAGCAGGGAUACUGGCCCAUGUGGACUCUACAAGGUGUUGAAAGCAGGGAUACUGGCCCAUGUGGACUCUACAAGGUGUUGAAAGCAGGGAUGCUGGCCCAUGUUGACUCUACAAGGUGUUGAAAGCAGGGAUACUGGCCCAUGUGGACUCUACAAGGUGUUGAAAGCAGGGAUACUGGCCCAUGUGGACUCUACAAGGUGUUGAAAGCAGGGAUGCUGGCCCAUGUUGACUCUACAAGGUGUUGAAAGCAGGGAUACUGGCCCAUGUGGACUCUACAAGGUGUUGAAAGCAGGGAUACUGGCCCAUGUGGACUCUACAAGGUGUUGAAAGGGUUCCACAGGGAUGCUGGCCCAUGUUGACUCUACAAGGUGUUGAAAGCGUUCCACAGGGAUGCUGGCCCUUGUUGACUCUACAACGUGUUGAAAGCGUUCCACAGGGAUGCUGGCCCAUGUUGACUCUACAAGGUGUUGAAAGGGUUCCACAGGGAUGCUGGCCCAUGUUGACUCUACAAGGUGUUGAAAGCGUUCC